UGGGGAAUAUUGCACAAUGGGCGCAAGCCUGAUGCAGCAACGCCGCGUGAGGGACGACGGCCUUCGGGUUGUAAACCUCUUUUAGCAGGGAAGAAGCGAAAGUGACGGUACCUGCAGAAAAAGCACCGGCUAACUACGU
rnacentral:rRNA from 1 species